rnacentral:rRNA from 1 species
UAAUACAGAGGGUGCAAGCGUUAUCCGGAAUUAUUGGGCGUAAAGCGUCCGCAGGUGGUUUGUUAAGUCGAGUAUUAAAGACGGCAGCUCAACUGUCGGAAUGUAUUCGAUACUGGCAAGCUAGAGUCUUGGAGGGGUGAGCAGAAUUCUGCAUGUAGGGGUAAAAUCCGUAGAUAUGCAGAGGAAUACCAAAAGCGAAGGCAGCUCACUGGCCAAGUACUGACACUCAUGGACGAAAGCGUGGGGAGCAAACAGG